rnacentral:rRNA from 1 species
CACGUAGGGGGCGAGCGUUGUCCGGAUUUAUUGGGCGUAAAGGGCUCGUAGGCGGCUCAGUAAGUCGGGUGUGAAACCUCCAGGCUCAACCUGGAGACGCCACUCGAUACUGCUGUGGCUAGAGUCCGGUAGGGGAGCAUGGAAUUCCUGGUGUAGCGGUGAAAUGCGCAGAUAUCAGGAAGAACACCCGUGGCGAAGGCGGCUCUCUGGGACGGUACUGACGCUGAGACGCGAAAGCGUGGGGAGCGAACAGG